GAGAUACUUUGACUCCAAGUUCUACUUCCUCUCUACUGAGAAGAAAACCUGGGAGAAGAGCAGACAGGACUGUCAGGGGAGAGGAGCAGACCUGGUGAUCAUAAACAGCAGAGAGGAACAGACAUUUGUCUUCAACCUCCACCUGAGAGCCUGGAUUGGUCUAACUGACUCUGUUACUGAGGGGACCUGGAAGUGGGUGGACGACACAUCACUGACCACAGGGUACUGGGGGUCAGAACAGCCUGAUGAUUAUGAAAGGCAAGAGGACUGUGUUGAGAUAUACUAUGGACAAGAUAACCCUGUAAAGACAUGGAAUGAUGACAAAUGUGGCACAAAUCACAACUGGAUCUGUGAGAAAGUGGUGUAACAAUAACCUACUGUAACAAACAGUCUCUCUCGCUCUGUUAUUGUUAUUAUUAUGUUGAUGGUUGAAUACAGUACUUAAUGGUUAAGUGGUGAUUCCACCUGGUGGUUAAGGUGAGAGAUGAACUCACCAUAGAGGAGAAAAAGUUAUAUUACAGAGUUGC